rnacentral:rRNA from 1 species
GUGCCAGCCGCCGCGGUAAUACGGAGGAGGCAAGCGUUAUCCGGAAUUAUUGGGCGUAAAGCGUCCGUAGGUGGUUAAUCAAGUCAGCUGUUAAAGAGCGGAGCUUAACUCCGUUAGAGCGGUUGAAACUGAUUGACUAGAGUUUGGUAGGGGUCGAGGGAAUUCCCAGUGUAGCGGUGAAAUGCGUAGAUAUUGGGAAGAACACCGGUGGCGAAAGCGCUCGACUGGGCCUGAACUGACACUGAGGGACGAAAGCUAGGGGAGCGAAAGGGAUUAGAUACCCCUGUAGUCC